rnacentral:rRNA from 1 species
AAGUUUAUGAAUCAUAGCAGACUCCUGAGUAAGUCGGGACACGUGUAAUCCUGACCGAAUCCGCCGGGACCAUCCGGCAAGGCUAAAUACUCCUGAGAGACCGAUAGUGAACCAGUACCGUGAGGGAAAGGUGAAAAGCACUUCGAACAGAAGAGUGAAAUAGUCCCUGAACCCAUACGCCUACAAGCUGUCGGAGCCGCUUCGUGCGGUGACGGCGUGCCUUUUGCAUAAUGAGCCUACGAGUUACUCAUCACCAGCGAGGUUAAGUACUUCAGGUACGUAAGCCGAAGCGAAAGCGAGUCUGAAUAGGGCGUCAAGUUGGUGGUGGUAGACGCGAAACCUUAGUGAUCUACCCAUGGGCAGGGUGAAGGUUUGGUAACACAAACUGGAGGCCCGAACCGGUAAACGUUGAAAAGUUUUCGGAUGACCUGUGGGUAGGGGUGAAAGGCCAAUCAAACUGGGAAAUAGCUCGUACUCUCCGAAAUGCAUUUAGGUGCAGCCUCUGUUGUUUUGUUCUAGAGGUAGAGCUACUGAUUGGAUGCGAGGGCUUCACCGCCUAUCAAAUCCGGCCAAACUCCGAAUGCUAGAACAUGAAGACAGGGAGUGAGCCAGCGGGUGCUAAGGUCCGUUGACGAAAGAGGGAGAACUCAGACCAUCAGCUAAGGUCCCCAAUUAUAUGCUAAGUUGGAAUAAAAACGGGGUGGGACUGCUUAGACAGCUAGGAUGUUGGCUUGGAAGCAGCCAUUCAUUUAAAGAGUGCGUAACAGCUCACUAGUCGAGCGGUCCUGCAUGGAUAAUACGCGGGCAUAAGCAUAUAACCGAAGCUAUGGGAUUGUAGAUGAUACAAUCGGUAGGAGAGCAUUCCAUUCAGCAUAGAAGCAGUACCGUGAGGUAUUGUGGAGCGGAUGGAAAAGCAAAUGUAGGCAUAAGUAACGAUAAUGCGGGUGAGAACCCCGCACGCCGAAAGAUCAAGGAUUCCCCGGCAAUGUCAAUCAUCCGGGGGUAAGUCGGAUCCUAAGGGUAAGCCGAGUGGCGAUCCCGAUGGUAAACAGGUUAAUAUUCCUGUACUGAUCAUAACUGCGAUGCAGCGACGCAGAGGUGACACUGCUGCGUACUGACGGAAUAGUACGUUGAAACCCGUAUUCUUUGAUACCGGUAGUGAAGCACGCCGGUAGAGAUGAAAGGUGAUAGUACCGCAAUGCUUCGGUUGCGCGGAUAAUGCAGGUAAGCUGACUGCCAAGAAAACCUGCUAAGCUUCAGGUAAUGAUCAUCCGUACUGUAAACGGACACACGUGAUCAGGUAGAAAAUACUAAGGCGCUCGAGAGAUUCAUGGUUAAGGAACUAGGCAAAAUGGUCCUGUAACUUCGGGAUAAAGGACGCUCUUGUGAAAGAGCCGCAGAUAAUAGGCCCAGGCGACUGUUUACCAAAAACACAUGGCUAUGCUAAUUCGCAAGAAGAUGUAUAUGGCCUGACACCUGCCCGGUGCCGGAAGGUUAAGAGGAGAGCUCAGAGGUAACUCGAAGGUUUGAAUUGAAGCCCCGGUAAACGGCGGCCGUAACUAUAACGGUCCUAAGGUAGCGAAAUUCCUUGUCGGGUAAGUUCCGACCUGCACGAAUGGUGUAACGAUCUGGGUACUGUCUCAACCAUGAGCUCGGUGAAAUUGUAGUUCCGGUGAAGAUGCCGGAUACCCGCAACGGGACGGAAAGACCCCGUGAACCUUUACUGCAGCUUUGCAUUGAUUUUGGGUAACAGAUGUGUAGGAUAGGUCGGAGGCUUUGAUGCUGCGUCGUCAGGCGUAGAGUAGCCGUCGUUGAAAUACGACCCUUUUGUUAUCUGAGGUCUAAUCCCGUUAGGGAGACAUUGCAUGGUGGGUAGUUUGACUGGGGUGGUCGCCUCCAAAAGUGUAACGGAGGCUUCUCAAGGUACCCUCAAGGCGUUUGGUAAUCGUCUGCAGAGUGCAAUGGCAUAAGGGUGCUUGACUGUGAGACCGACACGUCGAUCAGGUUGGAAACAAGAGCAUAGUGAUCCGGUGGUUCCGCAUGGAAGGGCCAUCGCUCAAAGGAUAAAAGGUACUCCGGGGAUAACAGGCUGAUCGCUCCCAAGAGCUCAUAUCGACGGAGCGGUUUGGCACCUCGAUGUCGGCUCGUCACAUCCUGGGGCUGGAGAAGGUCCCAAGGG